UAAAUUUUACAGUUGGUUAGAGUAAAAGACUGAAAAUCUUUGUGUCGGUGGUUCAAAUCCAUGAAAUUUAA